UCUUGGUCAUUUAGAGGAAGUAAAAGUCGUAANAAGGUUUCCGUAGGUGAACCUGCGGAAGGAUCAUUAAGGAAAUUUAAUAAUUUUGAAAAUGGAUUUUUUUGUUUUGGCAAGAGCAUGAGAGCUUUUACUGGGCAAGAAGACAAGAGAUGGAGAGUCCAGCCGGGCCUGCGCUUAAGUGCGCGGUCUUGCUAGGCUUGUAAGUUUCUUUCUUGCUAUUCCAAACGGUGAGAGAUUUCUGUGCUUUUGUUAUAGGACAAUUAAAACCGUUUCAAUACAACACACUGUGGAGUUUUCAUAUCUUUGCAACUUUUUCUUUGGGCAUUCGAGCAAUCGGGGCCCAGAGGUAACAAACACAAACAAUUUUAUCUAUUCAUUAAAUUUUUGUCAAAAACAAGAAUUUUCGUAACUGGAAAUUUUAAAAUAUUAAAAACUUUCAACAACGGAUCUCUUGGUUCUCGCAUCGAUGAAGAACGCAGCGAAAUGCGAUACGUAAUGUGAAUUGCAGAAUUCCGUGAAUCAUCGAAUCUUUGAACGCACAUUGCGCCCCUUGGUAUUCCAGGGGGCAUGCCUGUUUGAGCGUCAUUUCCUUCUCAAACAUUCUGUUUGGUAGUGAGUGAUACUCUUUGGAGUUAACUUGAAAUUGCUGGCCUUUUCAUUGGAUGUUUUUUUUCCAAAGAGAGGUUUCUCUGCGUGCUUGAGGUAUAAUGCAAGUACGGUCGUUUUAGGUUUUACCAACUGCGGCUAAUCUUUUUUUAUACUGAGCGUAUUGGAACGUUAUCGAUAAGAAGAGAGCGUCUAGGCGAACAAUGUUCUUAAAGUUUGACCUCAAAUCAGGUAGGAGUACCCGCUGAACUUAAGCAUAUCAAUAAGCGGAGGAA
rnacentral:rRNA from 1 species